rnacentral:rRNA from 1 species
UACGAAGGGGGCUAGCGUUGUUCGGAAUUACUGGGCGUAAAGCGUAUGCAGGCGGACUUUUAAGUCGGGGGUGAAAUCCCGAGGCUCAACCUCGGAACUGCCUUCGAUACUGGCGGUCUCGAGUCCGGGAGAGGUGAGUGGAACUGCGAGUGUAGAGGUGAAAUUCGUAGAUAUUCGCAAGAACACCAGUGGCGAAGGCGGCUCACUGGCCCGGUACUGACGCUGAGGUGCGAAAGCGUGGGGAGCAAACAGG